CCCUGGGUGGUGCAAAUGAUUAACACGCUUGGCUGCGAACCAAAAGGUUGGAGGUUUGAGUCCACCCAGAGGGG
rfam:Loxodonta africana unplaced genomic scaffold scaffold_28, whole genome shotgun sequence.